GCCUUUAGAUAAAAAUGUAGGACUUUCUUCUUUUUUCCUGUUUUCUUGGCUCUGAAAUACUACUUCCUUUUAUAUUGUAUAUGUACAGAGGAGAAGAUAAUGGGUGAGAUACCACAUCAAGAAAAAAGAAAGUCUACGCAGCCCAGAAUCAACACUUAAAUCUGUGUGGAAAGCCUUGUUGGAGUGCAAAAUGGAUUUAGAUUUUCAAAAUGAAAGAAUGGUGACUCAAAGCUGGAGGGAGCAGAUGGCCACGUCGUUAGCUGGUGGCCACAGCCUUCCCAGAUGAGUUUUGGAAUUCCCAUCAAAGUCGGGAUUAGGCUCAGGAUAUGCCGGUGGCACAGAGCACCCCAGGGGAGCGUGGAGGAAGAGGAAACCAUUCAUAGCGACUCAUCUCGUGGUUGGUGAUGAAGGAAUAACCGAAAGAGCUGAUUCUUGGAAUAGUAGCUCCAUUGGCACUCGUUGGUGAUUUCCUGUGCAUUUGCUGCAAGAAUCUCUCUGUGAUGUGAGUAGGUGGUACUAAAGGGUUAUUACGAAACCAAUUUUCAACCAGACGUUUUUGAGUCA
rnacentral:lncRNA from 1 species